rnacentral:rRNA from 1 species
UGGGGAAUAUUGGGCAAUGGGCGAAAGCCUGACCCAGCAACGCCGCGUGAGGGAAGAAGGUUUUCGGAUUGUAAACCUCUGUCGCAGAAGACGAAGGAAGUGACGGUAUUCUGUGAGGAAGCCCCGGCUAACUACGUGCCAGCAGCCGCGGUAAUACGUAGGGGGCGAGCGUUGUCCGGAAUUACUGGGCGUAAAGGGUGCGUAGGCGGUUAAUUAAGUUGGAUGUGAAAUUCCCGGGCUUAACUUGGGAGCUGCAUUCAAAACUGGUUAACUAGAGUUCAGGAGAGGGAAGCGGAAUUCCUAGUGUAGCGGUGAAAUGCGUAGAUAUUAGGAGGAACACCGGUGGCGAAGGCGGCUUUCUGGACUGACACUGACGCUGAGGCACGAAAGCGUGGGGAGCAAACAGG